rnacentral:snRNA from 1 species
AUACUUACCUGGCAGGGGAGAAACCAUGUGGUUUUCCCAGGGCGAGGCUUAUCCAUUGCACUCUGGAUGUGCUGACCCCUGCGAUUUCCCCAAAUGUGGGAGACUUGACUGCAUAAUUGGUAGUAGUGGGGGACUGUGUUCGCACUCUCCCCUA